AGAAUGAACGCUGGCGGCGCGCCUAAUACAUGCAAGUCGAGCGAGAAGACGUAGCAAUACGUUUGUAAAGCGGCGAACGGGUGAGGAAUACAUGGGUAACCUACCCUCGAGUGGGGAAUAACUAGCCGAAAGGUUAGCUAAUACCGCGUACGCUCCUUGGACUUCGGUUCAGGGAGGAAAGCGAUACCGUGGGUAUCGCGCUCUUGGUUGGGCUCAUGUCCUAUCAGCUUGUUGGUGAGGUAACGGCUCACCAAGGCUUCGACGGGUAGCUGGUCUGAGAGGACGAUCAGCCACACUGGCACUGCGACACGGGCCAGACUCCUACGGGAGGCAGCAGUAAGGAAUAUUGCGCAAUGGGCGAAAGCCUGACGCAGCGACGCCGCGUGGGGGAUGGAAGGUCUUCGGAUUGUAAACCCCUUUCGGGAGGAAGAUGGAACGAGCAAUCGUUCGGACGGUACCUCCAGAAGCAGCCACGGCUAACUUCGUGCCAGCAGCCGACGGUAAUCGUGA
rnacentral:rRNA from 1 species